rnacentral:rRNA from 1 species
UACGUAGGUGGCAAGCGUUGUCCGGAUUUACUGGGCGUAAAGAGCGCGCAGGCGGUCGUUCAAGUCGCGUGUGAAAGCCCCCGGCUCAACUGGGGAGGGUCACGCGAUACUGAUCGACUCGAAGGCAGGAGAGGGUAGUGGAAUUCCCGGUGUAGUGGUGAAAUGCGUAGAUAUCGGGAGGAACACCAGUGGCGAAGGCGACUACCUGGCCUGUUUCUUGACGCUGAGGCGCGAAAGCUAGGGGAGCA